GACAGUUCGAACGCAAUAAUGUGUAAUUGCCUUUUUUCCAGAGUAAAAACUUCAGUUUAUUCACGUUGUAAGGUUUGAAAGAAGACUUUGAAAGAAGUCUUUUUGCCUCUUUGGUGACGACGCGGAGCUAUAUUGAGGAGCAGGAAUUGUUGGAAAGUGGUGAAUGAUGCAAAAAUCGUGCGAUUUGCAUGGGGUGAAACAGUGUCGUUAGAAAUACAUUUUCUACCAUAAUUUAGUGUAGCUCAAGAAAGAGUUAAAAUUAAAUCAUUACUAGUGCUUUUCUCCUCUAGUUCUGACGAGGUCAGCUUCGUUAAAAAUCAGUGAGGCUCUAGCAAGUAUUUAUUUUCAUUGCUGAAGAGUUCGGACUGCGCCAGGAAAUUUGGUGAAUAACUGCAUUGUUCUAUUCUUUAAGGCGAACUAGAACUAUUUGAACCGUAAGACCACACAGUUUAUCCCAGUUUAUGCCGACUUGCUUGCGAAUAUGGAUGUGUUAUUAUUUACUCAUGAAAUAGAAAAAAGGCCUUUAGGUGAAUAUCUGCAAUGCAAUCAUAAUGGGAUUUAAAAAAAUCCAGGCCAAACGCAAUGAAAACGAAAUUUUUAAGCAGCGCUAGAGAAUUCAAAAAUACUUAAUACAGUUGUCCACCAUUCGUAAAAUAAAGAAACUUCAGUAAGCAGAAUUUCAAUAUUUUAUCAAUAUUGAAGUACACGAAUAAUUCUAAUAUGCUCGCAAAAGACAAUGAGGAAAAAUGCAAAAAGAAAUUUGACCAUAAAGUCCCGAAUAUUUUUAAGGAGCUUUCGCUAGUAGACUUUUCCUUCACAGCCAGACACAACUGGGUCAACUAAAAACAUUAACAAACGUUCUUAAUAUAAAAGUGUGUAAACAUGAAAGUGAAUCCUAAAGACUCUAAAUAGAAUCAAGCGUUUAAAUCGUGAGGUCUGAAGUUUUCACGAUAUGUGAAUAAGACUUCGGUAUGCAGAUUUUUAAUUCUAUUAGCGAAAAUCUCAGCAAAUUCUAAUAUUUUAUAUACGUUGACUUUUUGCUUGUACAGUUCAACAGCUUAGAACACACUAAAACGGAAACACAAAGCGAAAUUAUUGAUAUCCAUAAAAGCGAUUUAAAAAUUAAAGCGCCGGCAUCCUGCAAGCUUAGAUUAUUUCAUCUCAACCGCUUGUGAUCGAAAACGUUGUGGCGAACUCUAUAGCCACUUCUCAAGUAGCAGCUCCAACUGAAACGCUAGUUAUAUCUCACCGACUAAAAUCUGCGGCGUUUCGAUUCAGAUAGAACUUCCAUCUAUGUACUGUAUCCGGCGUCUAAGGCAGGGCCUACCUAAGCCUUACUGACGUCCAAUAGGUGGGCCCGGGACGAAGAACAUGGUGCUUCAACGCGCGCCAGAAUGUUUUCAAAAUUCGUAAAAACGAAGUGCAGACAAUAUGAGCAAAACAAAAAGAAAACAAAUAAUUUAGAAGAUGGGGGGAUUCUAAACUCACAGUUACUAAAACAAAUAAUCUUGCAAAUUCUACGCUUUUAAUGAGAACCGUCUAAAAAGGCAAAAAAAUUAAAAGAAGAACAAGAAACUAACAAAUAAGGUAUCGAACGGUUUAAAUUGUGCUUCCGGAUUUUUAUAACUUAUACUACAUAACCACCAUUGGAAUAUUAAUGCAUUUUUUUUAUAACAAAAAAAAAUUGCCAAUUCUAAUGCAAUUCUAAAUACUACAUACUCGGCUUUCGCCUUGUAUUAAAUUAUAAAUAAAAACUGCUAGCAAAGUUCCAACCCCGCAACUAAAAUCGACCCGUAGAAUAAAGAAUAACGUACCGAUUUACGUUACUGCUAAAUUUUUAUUAAAUCUGGGUCAAUCGUGCUGAAUGCGCUCGUUUGAACAUCCGCGCAACACUCCUCUUCCCCCUAGUCCUGCUAAUAGAAGCAGUGGUCUAAAUGAAGAUUUCGCUGCAUUUAGUUCAGCGCCAUCCGCGUUUUUGAGCAAAAUGUUUUGUUUCUAGUUGCACGGCAAUCUGUAUUUCCUCCGGUUGUUGUCCAGUAGCUUGAAAGGGCCGGGGUUGACAGUGGUUUGGUGAGAAUGUGCUGGAGCUUUUUGGGGGGCAGAGUGGUCUAGAGUGGAAGGGUGAGGUGUAAGAUUGGGAAAGGCUGUCCGCAGGGAUCUGGUCUAGGCCCCAUUCUAUGGCUCAUGGUCAUGAAGUGGCAAUGCAUCCGACUCCCGAGUUAAGAAGCAGCUGGAAGCAUGCUUCUUAACUCGGCUUCUACUUCUUAGACGCGCAAGCGCAAUCAGCCAGGACUGGUGCGGACGGUUAAGAAAAAAAUUUCUGCCCCCGAUUGGGGUGGGAGUGGUGCAAACAUGGCCCUAAGGCUUCAGCUGGUGGGCUGCCGAGAGGCGUAAGUCCUUUCUGUGAGAUCGUGCAAAACUGUUUGAACCAAUUGCGAUGCGCACUCUCGAUUGUUUAACUAUUAGUAAUUAAUUUUAAUAUGUGUGCCGCCACUGUUCCCUGACCGAAAGAGUCUAUUGAAAAAAAAUGUAGUUAAUUAAAUUUACGACAGAACACAGGAAACAGCUUUUGUGUAAAGUAACACGGUUGCCUAAUUUAUUACUUAGCCACCGGAAAAAUCAGUGUUUCUAAAUUUUGUCUAUACAAUGAACAUUCCUCCACAGCCGCUGCAAGAAAAUGCCGUUGGUUUUAUAAGUUUGCGUUGGAACAGUGUAGGUUCCUUUACAUAGUUUAGGUAAAAACUUGGGAAGAAAUAAUAAUUUUUUGGUAAAAAAUAGAUCGAGUUAUCCAAUAAAACUAGUUUUAAAAAUGGAAAAAUUCUGAAUGUAUUAAAAAACGCCUGAAGUAAAAUGUAAUAAAUUUA